rnacentral:misc_RNA from 1 species
GAAAAAGUGACACCAGCUCUGGAACCUGAAAGACAAAAGAGGCAUACAUCAACUCAACAUGAAAGUUGAUUGCUGGUCUGCAAGAGUCAUGGGAACAUAAACUGUUGACACACGUUGAUGCCUCUGGAGGGAAAUGCUUCAAUUUUCCCGAGUACAAAUAGCUUAAGAAAGUAAGGAAAGCCUCAUAUCCAACCUUACCACAAGGCAAUAUAUCAAUCAUAGAGUAACUUGGCUUACCUUCCUUUCCACAAUUUCCGUUUCUUUUCCUAAAAAGAUCCCUAAAAAAACUACUCCUCGCAGCUAAUAUACAACGAUGAACACCGAGUGAAACACCCUCAACAACAAUCUCAGCAUCACUAAACUCAGAGCUGGAAUCUAACAAUAGUUGCUCUAAAUUAUUACUGAGUUUACUUAAGCUGAUGAUUUCAUAACUACUCCCUGUCUCAGAUCCACCACAGGCACAUGUGUUUUGGCCUAUGCCAAUGGACCCAUUCGACGUGUUGGAAGUUGAAGUAAAGCUUAUAGAAGAUGAUGGUUCAGCAGAACUUGCCAUUUUCACAAUUGUAUAAGCUAAAAAUACACAAAUAUUAUCUACAUCUAAGAUAGUCAAACUCCAAGAAAAUCAAAAGUCCCCACACAGUCUCUAUGCACAAAAAGAACCUCUCCAAAACCUUAAUCAAUCACCAAUACAAGAAAUUCUUCCUUUCUCCUCACAUUCAACAACGAAGAUGAAGAAACGAAGCAAAUUCCAAAACUAAAACUCAAAUUCUCCCAAUUUCAGUUACAACCAAAUCAACCCUUGAGCAGAAACUAAUAACUCCACCGUAUCUACCAUCAGCUAAACUUCAAUUUCACAGUAAAAAUAGUAUCUUUUUCAAGAAUACAACAUGCAAAUUUUCAACAGCUUGAUCACAACUUACACAAAUGAAAAUUCUACCAACUAAUAACCCUUCAACUACUUGAUCACAACUUACCGAAAUGGAAUAACAUUCAUACCAGCCAAGACAACCAAAAAUAUUUCCAAUUGCAGAGCAAAA